rnacentral:rRNA from 1 species
AGAACGAACGCUGGCGGCGUGCUUAACACAUGCAAGUCGAGCGGGAAAGUUCCUUUCGGGGAACGAGUACAGCGGCGCACGGGUGAGUAACACGUAGGUAACCUACCUCAAAGUCUGGGAUAACCUGUCGAAAGACGGGCUAAUACCGGAUAAGACCACAAGGGCUUAGGCUCAUGGGGUAAAAGAUGGCCUCUGUUUACAAGCUAUCACUUCGGGAUGGGCCUGCGUGCCAUUAGCUAGUUGGUGAGGUAACGGCUCACCAAGGCGAAGAUGGCUAGCUGGUCUGAGAGGAUGGCCAGCCACACUGGGACUGAGACACGGCCAGACUCCUACGGGAGCAGCAGUGGGGAAUAUUGCGC